GGGUUGUGAGGUUAAGCGACUAAGCGUACACGGUGGAUGCCCGGCAGUCAGAGGCGAUGAAGGGCGUGCUAAUCUGCGAUAAGCGCCGGUAAGGUGAUAUGAACCGUUAUAACCGGCGAUACCCGAAUGGGGAAACCCAGUGUGAUUCGUCACACUAUCAUUAACUGAAUCCAUAGGUUAAUGAGGCGAACCGGGGAACUGAAACAUCUAAGUACCCCGAGGAAAAGAAAUCAACCGAGAUUCCCCAGUAGCGGCGAGCGAACGGGGAGGAGCCCAGAGCCUGAAUCAGCAUGUGUGUUAGUGGAAGCGUCUGGAAAGGCGCGCGAUACAGGGUGACAGCCCCGUACACAAAAGCGCAUGUGCUGUGAGCUCGAUGAGUAGGGCGGGACACGUGGUAUCCUGUCUGAAUAUGGGGGACCAUCCUCCAAGGCUAAAUACUCCUGACUGACCGAUAGUGAACCAGUACCGUGAGGGAAAGGCGAAAAGAACCCCGGCGAGGGGAGUGAAAAAGAACCUGAAACCGUGUACGUACAAGCAGUGGGAGCACCCUUCGGGGUGUGACUGCGUACCUUUUGUAUAAUGGGUCAGCGACUUAUAUUCUGUAGCAAGGUUAACCGUAUAGGGGAGCCGCAGGGAAACCGAGUCUUAAUUGGGCGUUAAGUUGCAGGGUAUAGACCCGAAACCCGGUGAUCUAGCCAUGGGCAGGUUGAAGGUUGGGUAACACUAACUGGAGGACCGAACCGACUAAUGUUGAAAAAUUAGCGGAUGACCUGUGGCUGGGGGUGAAAGGCCAAUCAAACCGGGAGAUAGCUGGUUCUCCCCGAAAGCUAUUUAGGUAGCGCCUCGUGAAUUCAUCUCCGGGGGUAGAGCACUGUUUCGGCUAGGGGGCCAUCCCGGCUUACCAACCCGAUGCAAACUGCGAAUACCGGAGAAUGUUAUCACGGGAGACACACGGCGGGUGCUAACGUCCGUCGUGAAGAGGGAAACAACCCAGACCGCCAGCUAAGGUCCCAAAGUCAUGGUUAAGUGGGAAACGAUGUGGGAAGGCCCAGACAGCCAGGAUGUUGGCUUAGAAGCAGCCAUCAUUUAAAGAAAGCGUAAUAGCUCACUGGUCGAGUCGGCCUGCGCGGAAGAUGUAACGGGGCUAAACCAUGCACCGAAGCUGCGGCAGCGAACGUAUCACCCAAGACAACUUUGCGGAGUUGACGAUUGACGGAGCGAAGCGACGUCAAUGCGUUUUACAAAGUCGAGUUGGCUUAGGGAUACGUUCGUUGGGUAGGGGAGCGUUCUGUAAGCCUGUGAAGGUGGCCUGUGAGGGUUGCUGGAGGUAUCAGAAGUGCGAAUGCUGACAUAAGUAACGAUAAAGCGGGUGAAAAGCCCGCUCGCCGGAAGACCAAGGGUUCCUGUCCAACGUUAAUCGGGGCAGGGUGAGUCGACCCCUAAGGCGAGGCCGAAAGGCGUAGUCGAUGGGAAACGGGUUAAUAUUCCCGUACUUGGUGUUACUGCGAAGGGGGGACGGAGAAGGCUAUGUUGGCCGGGCGACGGUUGUCCCGGUUUAAGCGUGUAGGUGUGUGUUCCGGUAAAUCCGGUUCACUUUAACACUGAGGCGUGACGACGAGGCACUACGGUGCUGAAGCAACAAAUGCCCUGCUUCCGUGAAAGCCUCUAAGCAUCAGGUAACAUCAAAUCGUACCCCAAACCGACACAGGUGGUCAGGUAGAGAAUACCAAGGCGCUUGAGAGAACUCGGGUGAAGGAACUAGGCAAAAUGGUGCCGUAACUUCGGGAGAAGGCACGCUGACACGUAGGUGAAGUGAUUUACUCAUGGAGCUGAAGUCAGUCGAAGAUACCAGCUGGCUGCAACUGUUUAUUAAAAACACAGCACUGUGCAAACACGAAAGUGGACGUAUACGGUGUGACGCCUGCCCGGUGCCGGAAGGUUAAUUGAUGGGGUCAGCGCAAGCGAAGCUCCUGAUCGAAGCCCCGGUAAACGGCGGCCGUAACUAUAACGGUCCUAAGGUAGCGAAAUUCCUUGUCGGGUAAGUUCCGACCUGCACGAAUGGCGUAAUGAUGGCCAGGCUGUCUCCACCCGAGACUCAGUGAAAUUGAACUCGCUGUGAAGAUGCAGUGUACCCGCGGCAAGACGGAAAGACCCCGUGAACCUUUACUAUAGCUUGACACUGAACAUUGAGCCUUGAUGUGUAGGAUAGGUGGGAGGCUUUGAAGUGUGGACGCCAGUCUGCAUGGAGCCGACCUUGAAAUACCACCCUUUAAUGUUUGAUGUUCUAACGUGGACCCGUAAUCCGGGUUGCGGACAGUGUCUGGUGGGUAGUUUGACUGGGGCGGUCUCCUCCUAAAGAGUAACGGAGGAGCACGAAGGUUGGCUAAUCUCGGUCGGACAUCAGGAGGUUAGUGCAAUGGCAUAAGCCAGCUUGACUGCGAGCGUGACGGCGCGAGCAGGUGCGAAAGCAGGUCAUAGUGAUCCGGUGGUUCUGAAUGGAAGGGCCAUCGCUCAACGGAUAAAAGGUACUCCGGGGAUAACAGGCUGAUACCGCCCAAGAGUUCAUAUCGACGGCGGUGUUUGGCACCUCGAUGUCGGCUCAUCACAUCCUGGGGCUGAAGUAGGUCCCAAGGGUAUGGCUGUUCGCCAUUUAAAGUGGUACGCGAGCUGGGUUUAGAACGUCGUGAGACAGUUCGGUCCCUAUUCGCCGUGGGCGCUGGAGAACUGAGGGGGCUGCUCCUAGUACGAGAGGACCGGAGUGGACGCAUCACUGGUGUUCGGGUUGUCAUGCCAAUGGCACUGCCCGGUAGCUAAAUGCGGAAGAGAUAAGUGCUGAAAGCAUCUAAGCACGAAACUUGCCCCGAGAUGAGUUCUCCCUGAGACUUAGAGUCUCCUGAAGGAACGUUGAAGACGACGACGUUGAUAGGCCGGGUGUGUAAGCGCAGCGAUGCGUUGAGCUAACCGGUACUAAUGAACCGUGAGGCUUAACCUUACAACGCCGAAG
rnacentral:rRNA from 1 species